rnacentral:lncRNA from 1 species
UUUCAUUUUCAUUCAGUUCACAAUACUUUCUGAUUUCCCUUUUGACUCUUCUUUGAUCCUUGGCUUAUUUAGAAGUGAGUCAUUUACAUUUCCAAACACUUGAGAGAUUUUCAGGUAUCUUUCUGCUAUUGAUUUGUAAUUUAACUCCAUUGUAUUCAGAGGACAUAUUUUGUAUGAUUUGAAUCCCACUAAAUUUGUUGAGACUUGUUUUAUGGUCCAGAAUAUGGUAUUCCCUGGUGAAUAUUCUGUUUGUACUUGAAAAGAAUGUGUGUUUAGCAUUUGUUGUGGG